rnacentral:misc_RNA from 1 species
GAAAUGCGAUAAGUAAUGUGAAUUGCAGAAUUCAGUGAAUCAUCGAAUCUUUGAACGCACAUUGCGCCCGCCAGCACGCUGGCGGGCAUGCCUGUUCGAGCGUCAUUUCAACCCUCAGAACCCCUUGCGGGAUCUGGCGUUGGGGAUUGGCAUCCAGCCAGCCCCGAAAUCUAGUGGCGGUCCCUCCGCGACCUCCCCUGUGCAGUAGCGAUACCUCGCGUGCGGAUAGCGGUGCGGCCACGCCGUAAAACCCCCGACUUUACCAAGGUUGACCUCGGAUCAGGUAGGAAUACCCGCUGAACUUAAGC